GAUGAACGCUGGCGGCGUGCUUAACACAUGCAAGUCGAACGAUGAAGCCCAGCCUGCUGGGCGGAUUAGUGGCGAACGGGUGAGUAACACGUGAGUAACCUGCCCUUGACUCUGGGAUAAGCCCGGGAAACUGGGUCUAAUACCGGAUAGGAGCGCCUGUCGCAUGACGGGUGCUGGAAAGAUUUUUCGGUCAUGGAUGGACUCGCGGCCUAUCAGCUUGUUGGUGAGGUAACGGCUCACCAAGGCGACGACGGGUAGCCGGCCUGAGAGGGUGACCGGCCACACUGGGACUGAGACACGGCCCAGACUCCUACGGGAGGCAGCAGUGGGGAAUAUUGCACAAUGGGCGGAAGCCUGAUGCAGCGACGCCGCGUGAGGGAUGACGGCCUUCGGGUUGUAAACCUCUUUUCAGUAGGGAAGAAAGC
rnacentral:rRNA from 1 species